CCCAACACUGGUCAGAUUCAAAAUUUGAACUUGCAGACAUUACAAGAAAAGAUGUCUUAUUCAUCUGACAUCUUGACCAAAAUAUGAAUUUUACCAUGGAUGUAGAGUUGUGGCCUAAAAAGAGCCAAAGUAUUCUAUUAACAUUAAAAGUGCAGAUGUAUUAUUCUGAUGACAUAUGACUAUUGGAUUUGUGAAGAUUGAUGUUUUCAUAUAUAUUGGAUUAAAUCUUCUGAAGUGCCUGGUGAAACAAAAGAAAAAUGUUUUCUGAUAGGACUGAAGAAUGGACACAUUCAAUCAGACUUGGAGCAUCAUACAAAAGAAAUGGAAAGUUGUCCACCAGGUCAUCAACCAUCUGCCGAAGCCAAGUAAGAAACACAAGACAAGAUAGACCACAUACAGCAAUAAUGAACUUUGAACAUUUCCAAAAUGUUUAACUUUACAUUAAAACAUAGUCUAAUUUUAA